rnacentral:rRNA from 1 species
AUGAACGCUGGCGGCGUGCCUAAUACCUGCAAGUCGAGCGAACGGACGAGAAGCUUGCUUCUCUGAUGUUAGCGGCGGACGGGUGAGUAACACGUGGAUAACCUACCUAUAAGACUGGGAUAACUUCGGGAAACCGGAGCUAAUACCGGAUGAUAUUUUGAACCGCAUGGUUCAAAAGUGAAAGACGGUCUUGCUGUCACUUAUAGAUGGAUCCGCGCUGCAUUAGCUAGUUGGUAAGGUAACGGCUUACCAAGGCAACGAUGCAUAGCCGACCUGAGAGGGUGAUCGGCCACACUGGAACUGAGACACGGUCCAGACUCCUACGGGAGGCAGCAGUAGGGAAUCUUCCGCAAAGGGCGAAAGCCUGACGGAGCAACGCCGCGUGAGUGAUGAAGGUCUUCGGAUCGUAAAACUCUGUUAUUAGGGAAGAACAUAUGUGUAAGUAACUGUGCACAUCUUGACGGUACCUAAUCAGAAAGCCACGGCUAACUACGUG